UCCUGGCUCAGAUUGAACGCUGGCGGCAGGCCUAACACAUGCAAGUCGAACGGUAACAGGAAGCAGCUUGCUGCUUYGCUGACGAGUGGCGGACGGGUGAGUAAUGUCUGGGGAUCUGCCUGAUGGAGGGGGAUAACUACUGGAAACGGUAGCUAAUACCGCAUAACGUCGCAAGACCAAAGAGGGGGACCUUCGGGCCUCUUGCCAUCAGAUGAACCCAGAUGGGAUUAGCUAGUAGGUGGGGUAACGGCUCACCUAGGCGACGAUCCCUAGCUGGUCUGAGAGGAUGACCAGCCACACUGGAACUGAGACACGGUCCAGACUCCUACGGGAGGCAGCAGUGGGGAAUAUUGCACAAUGGGCGCAAGCCUGAUGCAGCCAUGCCGCGUGUAUGAAGAAGGCCUUCGGGUUGUAAAGUACUUUCAGCGGGGAGGAAGGCGAUGYGGUUAAUAACCRCGUCGAUUGACGUUWCCCGCAGAAGAAGCACCGGCUAACUCCGUGCCAGCAGCCGCGGUAAUACGGAGGGUGCAAGCGUUAAUCGGAAUUACUGGGCGUAAAGCGCACGCAGGCGGUCUGUCAAGUCGKAUGUGAAAUCCCCGGGCUCAACCUGGGAACUG
rnacentral:rRNA from 1 species